UUAAGUUAUUAAGGGCGCACGGUGGAUGCCUUGGCACUAGAAGCCGAUGAAGGACGUUACUAACGACGAUAUGCUUUGGGGAGCUGUAAGUAAGCUUUGAUCCAGAGAUUUCCGAAUGGGGAAACCCAGCAUGAGUUAUGUCAUGUUAUCGAUAUGUGAAUACAUAGCAUAUCAGAAGGCACACCCGGAGAACUGAAACAUCUUAGUACCCGGAGGAAGAGAAAGAAAAUUCGAUUCCCUUAGUAGCGGCGAGCGAAAUGGGAAGAGCCCAAACCAACAAGCUUGCUUGUUGGGGUUGUAGGACACUCUAUACGGAGUUACAAAGGACGACAUUAGACGAAUCAUCUGGAAAGAUGAAUCAAAGAAGGUAAUAAUCCUGUAGUCGAAAAUGUUGUCUCUCUUGAGUGGAUCCUGAGUACGACGGAGCACGUGAAAUUCCGUCGGAAUCUGGGAGGACCAUCUCCUAAGGCUAAAUACUCUCUAGUGACCGAUAGUGAACCAGUACCGUGAGGGAAAGGUGAAAAGCACCCGGAAGGGAGUGAAAUAGAACCUGAAACCGUGUGCUUACAAGUAGUCAGAGCCCGUUAAUGGGUGAUGGCGUGCCUUUGUAGAAUGAACCGGCGAGUUACGAUUUGAUGCAAGGUUAAGCAGUAAAUGUGGAGCCGUAGCGAAAGCGAGUCUGAAUAGGGCGUUUAGUAUUUGGUCGUAGACCCGAAACCAGCGAUCUACCCUUGGUCAGGUUGAAGUUCAGGUAACACUGAAUGGAGGACCGAACCGACUUACGUUGAAAAGUGAGCGGAUGAACUGAGGGUAGCGGAGAAAUUCCAAUCGAACCUGGAGAUAGCUGGUUCUCUCCGAAAUAGCUUUAGGGCUAGCCUCAAGUGAUGAUUAUUGGAGGUAGAGCACUGUUUGGACGAGGGGCCCUCUCGGGUUACCGAAUUCAGACAAACUCCGAAUGCCAAUUAAUUUAACUUGGGAGUCAGAACAUGGGUGAUAAGGUCCGUGUUCGAAAGGGAAACAGCCCAGACCACCAGCUAAGGUCCCAAAAUAUAUGUUAAGUGGAAAAGGAUGUGGCGUUGCCCAGACAACUAGGAUGUUGGCUUAGAAGCAGCCAUCAUUUAAAGAGUGCGUAAUAGCUCACUAGUCGAGUGACACUGCGCCGAAAAUGUACCGGGGCUAAACAUAUUACCGAAGCUGUGGAUUGUCCUUUGGACAAUGGUAGGAGAGCGUUCUAAGGGCGUUGAAGCAUGAUCGUAAGGACAUGUGGAGCGCUUAGAAGUGAGAAUGCCGGUGUGAGUAGCGAAAGACGGGUGAGAAUCCCGUCCACCGAUUGACUAAGGUUUCCAGAGGAAGGCUCGUCCGCUCUGGGUUAGUCGGGUCCUAAGCUGAGGCCGACAGGCGUAGGCGAUGGAUAACAGGUUGAUAUUCCUGUACCACCUAUAAUCGUUUUAAUCGAUGGGGGACGCAGUAGGAUAGGCGAAGCGUGCGAUUGGAUUGCACGUCUAAGCAGUAAGGCUGAGUAUUAGGCAAAUCCGGUACUCGUUAAGGCUGAGCUGUGAUGGGGAGAAGACAUUGUGUCUUCGAGUCGUUGAUUUCACACUGCCGAGAAAAGCCUCUAGAUAGAAAAUAGGUGCCCGUACCGCAAACCGACACAGGUAGUCAAGAUGAGAAUUCUAAGGUGAGCGAGCGAACUCUCGUUAAGGAACUCGGCAAAAUGACCCCGUAACUUCGGGAGAAGGGUGCUCUUUAGGUUAACGCCCAGAAGAGCCGCAGUGAAUAGGCCCAAGCGACUGUUUAUCAAAACACAGGUCUCUGCUAAACCGUAAGGUGAUGUAUAGGGGCUGACGCCUGCCCGGUGCUGGAAGGUUAAGAGGAGGGUUAGCUUCUGCGAAGCUACGAAUCGAAGCCCCAGUAAACGGCGGCCGUAACUAUAACGGUCCUAAGGUAGCGAAAUUCCUUGUCGGGUAAGUUCCGACCCGCACGAAAGGCGUAACGAUUUGGGCACUGUCUCAACGAGAGACUCGGUGAAAUCAUAGUACCUGUGAAGAUGCAGGUUACCCGCGACAGGACGGAAAGACCCCGUGGAGCUUUACUGUAGCCUGAUAUUGAAAUUCGGCACAGCUUGUACAGGAUAGGUAGGAGCCUUUGAAACGUGAGCGCUAGCUUACGUGGAGGCGCUGGUGGGAUACUACCCUAGCUGUGUUGGCUUUCUAACCCGCACCACUUAUCGUGGUGGGAGACAGUGUCAGGCGGGCAGUUUGACUGGGGCGGUCGCCUCCUAAAAGGUAACGGAGGCGCUCAAAGGUUCCCUCAGAAUGGUUGGAAAUCAUUCAUAGAGUGUAAAGGCAUAAGGGAGCUUGACUGCGAGACCUACAAGUCGAGCAGGGUCGAAAGACGGACUUAGUGAUCCGGUGGUUCCGCAUGGAAGGGCCAUCGCUCAACGGAUAAAAGCUACCCCGGGGAUAACAGGCUUAUCUCCCCCAAGAGUUCACAUCGACGGGGAGGUUUGGCACCUCGAUGUCGGCUCAUCGCAUCCUGGGGCUGUAGUCGGUCCCAAGGGUUGGGCUGUUCGCCCAUUAAAGCGGUACGCGAGCUGGGUUCAGAACGUCGUGAGACAGUUCGGUCCCUAUCCGUCGUGGGCGUAGGAAAUUUGAGAGGAGCUGUCCUUAGUACGAGAGGACCGGGAUGGACAUACCUCUGGUGUACCAGUUGUCGUGCCAACGGCAUAGCUGGGUAGCUAUGUGUGGACGGGAUAAGUGCUGAAAGCAUCUAAGCAUGAAGCCCCCUCAAGAUGAGAUUUCCCAACUUCGGUUAUAAGAUCCCUCAAAGAUGAUGAGGUUAAUAGGUUCGAGGUGGAAGCAUGGUGACAUGUGGAGCUGACGAAUACUAAUCGAUCGAAGACUUAAUCAA
rnacentral:rRNA from 1 species